UACGAAGGUGGCAAGCGUUGUUCGGAUUUACUGGGCGUACAGGGAGCGUAGGCGGUUGGAUAAGCCCUCCGUGAAAUCUCCAGGCUUAACCUGGAAAGUGCAGAGGGGACUGUUCAGCUAGAGGAUGGGAGAGGAGCGCGGAAUUCCCGGUGUAACGGUGAAAUGCGUAGAGAUCGGGAGGAAGGCCGGUGGCGAAGGCGGCGCUCUGGAACAUUUCUGACGCUGAGGCUCGAAAGCGUGGGGAGCAAACAGG
rnacentral:rRNA from 1 species